UCGCAAGAGAACCGGAACACAGGUGCUGCAUGGCUGUCGUCAGCUCGUGUCGUGAGAUGUUGGGUUAAGUCCCGCAACGAGCGCAACCCUUGUCAUUAGUUGCCAUCAUUGGUUGGGCACUCUAAUGAGACUGCCGGUGACAAACCCGGAGGGAAAGGUGGGGAUGACGUCAAGUCCUCAUGGCCCUUAUGGGUAGGACUUCACACGUCAUACAAUGGUCGGUACAGAGGGUUGCCAACCCGCGAGGGGGAGCUAAUCCCACAAAGCCGAUCGUAGUCCGGAUCGCAGUCUGCAACUCGACUGCGUGAAGUCGGAAUCGCUAGUAAUCGUGGAUCAGCAUGUCACGGUGAAUACGUUCCCGGGUCUU
rnacentral:rRNA from 1 species